rnacentral:rRNA from 1 species
GACGAACGCUGGCGGCGUGCUUAACACAUGCAAGUCGUACGGUAAGGCCCUUUCGGGGGUACACGAGUGGCGAACGGGUGAGUAACACGUGCGUAACCUGCCCACAACUUUGGGAUAACGCUAGGAAACUGGUGCUAAUACUGGAUAUGUGCUCCUGCUGCAUGGUGGGGGUUGGAAAGCUCCGGCGGUUGUGGAUGGACUUGCGGCCUAUCAGCUUGUUGGUGGGGUAGUGGCCUACCAAGGCGGCGACGGGUAGCCGGCCUGAGAGGGUGACCGGCCACAUUGGGACUGAGAUACGGCCCAGACUCCUACGGGAGGCAGCAGUGGGGAAUAUUGCACAAUGGGCGCAAGCCUGAUGCAGAAACGCCGCGUGCGGGAUGACGGCCUUCGGGUUGUAAACCGCUUUCAGCAGGGACGAAGCUUUUUGUGACGGUACCUGCAGAAGAAGCACCGGCUAACUACGUG